GAUUAUUAUUAAUCUCCACACAGCAUUACCACGGGUCGGUGUCUAAGACCGAAUGGCCCAUAUGUGGUGAGCCUUGUAAUAUAAGGCUGGUGACCUGUAUGCACUUAUAAAUGUUGCAUACUUGUACAAACUGAGCAUCAACUGUCUGUAACCAAAAUUGGUUAAAACUGAAAAAGUUAUAAGAUUGUAUAAAAUUUUUGAACCAAGAAAGUAGUGUUAGACGAAAAUUCGUUCUAUCACUUUUAGAAGGGAGACUGUUUGGAAAUAUUUAAAGUAUAAAAUACACAAAAGUCCACUGAAUUAUGAACAAAAUUACGUCCCUGAAUUUAAGAAAAGUCAAGAGGUGUCAGAAAUAAAAUCCUCUCUGAUACGUUCAGAGAGGAAAAUAAGUAUGGAGAGAGGAGUAAAAAUGAAAGAAGUUUUAAGGCUGGGGAAACUUCUAAAGGAGAGAGAUUCCAACAUAUCUAAUAUGUACAUUUAAAGCAAGUCCAAGGAACUCUCUCCGUUAAUGUUUGAAAAGGUGUGUGCAGAUGGAGGAGAAAUGUAUAAAGUACAGAGACGAGGUUGGUGGGCCCGCUCUAAUGAUAAAGAUUAUAAAAUUUGGUGGCAAAAUGACCAGCAUGAUCACUGUACGCGCUUUCUCGAUUUGUAUAGCAUGCCACUGUCCGCGCUAUCUUUUAUUAUAUUGUCCAGCGUGUGUGGUCUACGUGCUUGCACGAUGGAUGCACGGCGUGAAAGUGAUUUUCGUGCUUUAUGAGAGGAGGAGGAGAAUAUUUGGCCUCUAUAAGAGGUACAAAAUUUAUGAAAUGUGUGUUACAUACAAAAGAGAAAUGGCUUAACGUCGAUCGGUCUUACAGGGAGGAGCCGACGACGAAAAUUUAAAUUUACAAUAAUAACUAAGCUCCCUGGUUGAUCCUGCCAGUAGUCAUAUGCUUGUCUCAAAGAUUAAGCCAUGCAUGUCUAAGUACAUACCGAAUUAAGGUGAAACCGCGAAUGGCUCAUUAAAUCAGUUUUGGUUUCUUAGAUCGUACAAAACAUUACUUGGAUAACUGUGGUAAUUCUAGAGCUAAUACAUGCAAACCAGAAUUCCACCCAGAGAUGGGAGGAAUGCUUUUAUUAGAUCAAAACCAAUCGGUGGCGGACGGCUUGUCCGUUCGUCCAUCGUCGGCUUUGGUGACUCUGAAUAACGUUGUGCUGAUCGUAUGGUCAUCUAGCACCGACGACGGAUCUUUCAAAUGUCUGCCUUAUCAACUGUCGAUGGUAGGUUCUACGCCUACCAUGGUUGUAACGGGUAACGGGGAAUCAGGGUUCGAUUCCGGAGAGGGAGCCUGAGAAACGGCUACCACAUCCAAGGAAGGCAGCAGGCGCGCAAAUUACCCACUCCCGGCACGGGGAGGUAGUGACGAAAAAUAACGAUACGGGACUCAUCCGAGGCCCCGUAAUCGGAAUGAGUACACUUUAAAUCCUUUAACGAGGAUCCAUUGGAGGGCAAGUCUGGUGCCAGCAGCCGCGGUAAUUCCAGCUCCAAUAGCGUAUAUUAAAGUUGUUGCGGUUAAAAAGCUCGUAGUUGAAUCUGUGUAUCACAGUGUCGGUUCACCGCUCGCAGGUUAUCCCCUGUUCGUCUAUUCGGCUAGAGGGGGCCCGGGCAGUGUGGGACUCAUAUCCCCUGAAGGGGGGCCUGGCGCCCAUUUGGUGGGGGCAAACCCAAAGAGGCAACCCAGAAGGGGCAACCUGACAGCCCAACCCUGAAGGGCGAGCACAAAGGAAAAGGGUCACAGCCCAGAAGGGGCGACCCAGCGGCGCCCAGAAGGGGCGUCCGCGGCCUGAUAUACUACCCACUAAAAACCUCUUCCCUAACGUAGGCCGUCGGUACCCUUUCAUCCUUUGGGGAUAUCCCAGAUGUACCGACGAUAGCCGCAACGGCGCUUCUGCUCCCUAGCUUACAUUUGUGCUUUCGUCUCACCUCAAUCCGCCGUGCGCUAGGCAACCACGGGGGGUUGAGGAUCCACGCCGUCACACCUCCGAUCUAGCGGUAGGAUGUUUCAACCUGUACAAGAAAGCACAGGAUUUUUCUUCGGCCACGAUCAGGAACCGGAGGAUUCCCACUCAACGGGUGAUCGCGCCCCUACUUCACCUGCCUGCCAUUAGCAAGGCCAGGAACUUUCUCUUCGGUCACGAUCAGGACCCGGGACUUCGUAUCUCCCGGUUGAUCGCCCCAAUCUUCGUCCACCAUGGUAGGUUGAUAAUGAAGAUGUGGCUUUUCCUUGCAGUCAUCACGCCCACCUGUCCUUCCACGAGGACAGGCCAUUUUUCUUCAACCACGAUCGGCACCGGAGGACUUUCCCACUCAUCGGGUGAUCGGGCCGUGUGUUCAGCCUGCCUGGCACUUGCCAGGACAGGACUUUUUCUUCGGUCACGAUCAGGACCCGGGACUUCGUAUCUCCCGGUUGAUCGCCCCAAUCUUCGUCCACCAUGCAGUCAUCACGCCCACCUGUCCUACCACGAGGACAGGCCAUUUUUCUUCAACCACGAUCGGCACCGGAGCUCCUGCUCAACGGGUGAUCGGGCCGUGUCUUCACCUGCCUGCCAUAAGCGAGGUCAGGAAGCUUUUUCUUCGGCCACGAUCAGGAACCGGGAAGUCCUUUACCCGGCUGACCGCGCCAUAUCUUGGUACGCUGCAACCCUCGAUGACUUGUCCCAUACAUACUCCAGCCACACACACACCGCUCCCAGAAAGCAUAGCAUUGAACGUUCAAACAACCCAAGCAGGUGAAAGGAGGCAUGCAGGAUGCCCAUGAAGACAGUAGGCACAUAGAGUAGCCACUGCCUAGCCAGGUGAAGAACGAAAGUGUAAGAAACAAGCUCAGACUCUAAUCAUAUCGCACGAGUAAGAUAAUGUAGAAGUAAAUUGCCAUUGGCAAGAGAGCGGUAAAACAAAAAA